rnacentral:rRNA from 1 species
UACGUAGGGUGCAAGCGUUGUCCGGAAUUAUUGGGCGUAAAGAGCUCGUAGGCGGUCUGUCGCGUCGGAUGUGAAAAUCCAGGGCUCAACCCUGGACCUGCAUUCGAUACGGGCAGACUAGAGUUCGGCAGGGGAGACUGGAAUUCCUGGUGUAGCGGUGAAAUGCGCAGAUAUCAGGAGGAACACCGGUGGCGAAGGCGCCUAUCUGGCCCAAUACUGACGCUGAGGCGCGAAAGCUAGGGGAGCAAACGGG